GACGAACGCUGGCGGCGUGCUUAACACAUGCAAGUCGAACGGAAAGGCCCUGCUUUUGUGGGGUGCUCGAGUGGCGAACGGGUGAGUAACACGUGAGUAACCUGCCCUUGACUUUGGGAUAACUUCAGGAAACUGGGGCUAAUACCGGAUAGGAGCUCCUGCUGCAUGGUGGGGGUUGGAAAGUUUCGGCGGUUGGGGAUGGACUCGCGGCUUAUCAGCUUGUUGGUGGGGUAGUGGCUUACCAAGGCUUUGACGGGUAGCCGGCCUGAGAGGGUGACCGGCCACAUGGGGACUGAGAUACGGCCCAGAAGCCUAUGGGAGGCAGCAGGGGGGAAUAUUGCACAAUGGGCGGAAGCCUGAUGCAGAAACGCCGCGUGCGGGAUGACGGCUUUCGGGUGGUAAACCGCUUUGGCCUGUGACGAAGCGUGAUUGACGGUAAUGGGUAAAGAAGCACCGGCUAACUACGUG
rnacentral:rRNA from 1 species